GGCCUUUUGUAUCCGUGUUGAGAUUUCGUCAGCGAUCAAUCCACUGGGGCUGAUGGGACUUCCCAAAUAAGUUAGGUU
rnacentral:pre_miRNA from 1 species